rnacentral:lncRNA from 1 species
GUUGGAAACCCUCGAUUUGUUUGUGUCUGAGCCAGCACCAUUCCUGUGCAUUGCAGUUACUUGGCCUACACAUUUGUUUUGAGUACCAGGUAAAGUGGAUUUCAUGAAGAAAGAAGAAUGUUUCCUGAAUACAUUAGUGCGCACUAAUCACAUUCAGACAAACUCCACAGAGACAGAGCUAGAGGAUUUUUAUUUCUGUC